rnacentral:lncRNA from 1 species
AGGAUUUGGAGCAACUUUUGGAGCGGGAAAAGGGUAGCUUUGGAGCAGACUUGGAGCAAAAGGAACUGUGUUUCGGCGCAGGCUUGGAGCAAACAAAAUGGAGUUUGGGAUCAUUUGGAGCAGUACAGGCUACAGGAGCAGUACGGGU